GAUGAACGCUGGCGGCGUGCCUAAUACAUGCAAGUCGAGCGAACGGACGAGAAGCUUGCUUCUCAGGUGUUAGCGGCGGACGGGUGAGUAACACGUGGAUAACCUACCUAUAAGACUGGGAUAACUUCGGGAAACCGGAGCUAAUACCGGAUAAUAUUUUGAACCGCAUGGUUCAAAAGUGAAAGACGGUCUUGCUGUCACUUAUAGAUGGAUCCGCGCUGCAUUAGCUAGUUGGUAAGGUAACGGCUUACCAAGGCAACGAUGCAUAGCCGACCUGAGAGGGGGUCCGGCCACACUGAACCGGAGACACGGUCCGGACUCCUAGGGGAGCCAGCGGAAGGAAACUUUCGGCAAUGGCCGAAAGCUUGCCGGGGCACCGCGGGGUGGGUAAUGAAGGCCUCCGGUUCGAAAACCUUGUUUAUAGGGAAGAACAUAUGUGUAAGUAACUGUGCACAUCUUGACGGUACCUAAUCAGAAAGCCACGGCUAACUACGUG
rnacentral:rRNA from 1 species